rnacentral:rRNA from 1 species
UACAGAGGUCACAAGCGUUGUUCGGAUUCACUGGGCGUAAAGGGUGCGCAGGUGGGCUGGUAAGUUCGAUGUGAAAGCCCCGGGCUUAACCCGGGAAUGGCAUUGGAUACUACUGGUCUGGAGGAUCGGAGGGGGGACUGGAAUUCUUGGUGUAGCAGUGAAAUGCGUAGAUAUCAAGAGGAACACCAGUGGCGAAGGCGAGUCCCUGGACGAUACCUGACACUGAGGCACGAAAGCCAAGGGAGCAAACAGG